rnacentral:lncRNA from 1 species
ACAUGAAUCAAGAUCAAUUUUGCUCAGAAGCCAGGCGCCAUACUGCCUGUUAACUUUAGUUAACUUCAUGUGAAGAAUGCCGUGAAGCCCUGUUUGACGGACAAGAUCCUUUUUCAUGUCAUCAAAACUGUUAAAUAAACCGACGACACACCUUGGUUGGCAUCUUGAAUUUAUCCUCGUGUUUUUUGCAUUGGGUGACUUAUCUGUGAUCCUCUU